UUUUUUAAUUGAAAACUUGUAUGAAUGGUUGGAUGAAAUAUUAACUGUUUCAUAAAUAAAAAUUAAAAUUUUAUUUUUUAGUAAAAAAGCUAAAAUAUUAUUAAAGGACGAGAAGACCCUAUAAAGUUUUAUAUUAAAUUUUUAAUUAUUUUUUUAAAAAAUUUUUAAUUUUUAUAAAUUUAGUAUUUUAUUGGGGUGAUAAUAAAAUUUAUUAAACUUUUGUAAUUUAUUAACAUUAAUUUAUGAUUUUAUGAUCCAAUUUUAUUGAUUAAAAAUUUAAAUUACUUUAGGGAUAACAGCGUAAUUUUUUUUAAAAGUUCAUAUUAAUAAAAAAGAUUGC
rnacentral:rRNA from 1 species